rnacentral:misc_RNA from 1 species
AGUUGGAUUUGACCUCCGACGUCAUCGUCGGAUCGGAGAAUAGAUCUUACCGUUUAAAACAACUCUUUAAUAUGCGAUAGUUGGAGAAAAUACACUUGUUUGCGUUGCUUGAAUAUGAAUUUUGGUAAACGCAAAGCAUUACCAAGAUUACGAAAGCUGCAUGUAAUGUAUGAUGAUUCUGUAGACCAUUCUGAUAAAGGAAAAAGAAUAUCUCGAAAUGUCAGUGAGAAGAAGAGGCGAGACCAGUUCAAUAGCCUCAUCCAGGAGCUCUGCUCGAUGGUGUCGACAAAGAGUAGAAAGAUGGACAAGUCUACAGUUCUUAAGGCUACAAUAAGCUUCCUGAAAACACACAAUGAGAUUGCACUUAAGUCAGCUAAAAAUGCCAUCAAAGAAGACUGGAAACCAUCCUUUCUUUCUGACGACGAAUUCAGUCAGUUGAUGCUGGAAGCACUCGAUGGUUUUAUGAUUGUGUUUAAUCCUGAAGGACGAAUACUAUACGCCUCUGACAGCGUAACAUCCUUGUUGCGUCACCUGCCAAAAGAUCUAGAAAACAGAACCAUCUAUGAGCUAGUGCAUGAAGACAGCCGGCCUGAUAUUUUCAAAAUAUUAUCAUUGGCAUACGACAAAGCAGAGGAACCAGUGGUCCUUAACAAAGCGCACACAUUUGACUGUUAUAUGCAACGUGGCUCAAUGGAUGUGAAUAAGGAACCAAGUUACGACAAAGUUAAUGUUAGUGGCAGUUUUCAGAAGCUCAACAGUAGGUCUGAAGCAUUACUAGGUGAAAGCAUCAAGUCCGGCGUGUGCUUCGUGGCAACGGUGCGACUAGAGAAGACACAAUUAAGUCGUGAGAUGGCUACCUUCACAGAAAAAGGAAAUGAAUUCACGUCCAGACAUAGUCUUGAUUGGAAAUUUUUAUUUCUAGAUCAUCGAGCGCCCCCAGUCAUUGGGUAUUUGCCUUUUGAAGUAUUGGGUACCUCAGUGUAUGACUAUUAUCAUCAGGAUGAUUUGAGUAAGAUUACCAAGUGGCACGAAGCAUUGAUGCAAACGAGUGAGGGAACGUCGUCCUACUAUCGAUUCCUAACAAAGGGCCAAGAGUGGAUAUGGCUUAAAACCCGUUUUUAUAUUACCUACAAUCAGUGGAACUCAAAGCCAGAAUUUAUUGUUUGUGCUCACGUAGUUGUCAAUUAUGCCGAGGUACGAGAGAUAUUUAAUCGUGAGAUCUGUGUAGAAGAGGACCAGUUAAUGAGCGUGGAUGGGUCCACCUCGGAAGGUAACUGUGACUGGGAAUCAACCUCAUCUAGAACGUGUAUGUCAACAGAUGCAUCCAUUCCAGUAUCCUCAUCAAAAAAGAUGACAUAUACCACGCCGCAUAACGUUCAAAAUAAUACGGUGUCAAAAUCGUUUCAAGAGAAUGAAAAUCAAUUUCAGUGUGGAGUUGAAAACCAGAGUGUUAAGAGUUACGACUCUGUUUCAAUCUCAAGUUCAGAAUAUUCACCUGUAAAUGCUAAUGCUAUGAGCCCAGGCCAGCCAGAGGAGGGCAUAACCCAGGAGGAAAUGGCAGUGAUUCAACUACAGCUACAGGAACAGCUCUUACAACGGCAUCACAUAAUCCAAGAGAAGAUUCACAGUCAACAAGAAGAGUUGCAGCGCAUUCAGCAGCAGUUGGUACGGGCACAGCAGCUAAUGAUCCACCAUCAACCAUUCCUAUCGACUUAUUUACAAGCUGGUGGACAGAGCGUACCUAAUCCUCAAGCCCAAGUGACAGAACCGGCCCAGCCUCCAAGGCUGCCCAGCACAAACACAGCUUUACCGCCACAAACAUCAUUACCAAGGGUAUAUCCGAAUAUCAGCGGAAAUUUUGUACAGUCCCCUCAAAACCUCUCAUCUCCAGUUAUGCCAGAGCAUAUGCAGCAGUCCUCUCCCGCUAGCCCUCUUUCACUACAGAGGGAAAUAUCUAUAUAUGGCGGAAGCCAGAUUCCAGACGUUCACCCUCGACCUCAAUUACCAUCUCAUCAAAAUUCUAAUUACUCAAUUGUUGGCAACCAACUGCAAGCUCAACCCUCAUCUUCCAGUCCCUUGCAGCAGUUGAGUUCAGAUUCUACGGUAGCAAAUACGCAAUCUUCAUACCAACCAGUUCAACCAAUGCCCCACUUUCAGUUUUUAACACAAGACCCAAUGAUGAGUUUGCAAUUAGAUGAGGUGAUUGGAAUGGAUCAAUUUAAUCUAUUAGACGGUCACCAGAAUGAGCAAUUAUAGUGUGCGUCUUAACUACAGAGGUCCCAAUGCUCCCGUGGGUCGCAGGAAACUCCAAAAAAGACAAACUCCCGCACUCACGUAAGCAUGCAAAGGUCACAUGGAAAACAACCCAUUUUCCUCAUAUAUAUUUGUUUUUACUACAUUGUUAUCAAUUGUCUCUCAGAAAUCGGUUGGAUUGGAUUGGAUUUAUUCAGUGUAAACACUAAGGAUGGCCCACGAAAGAAGACUUAUUUCUAGUGGGGUCCUUCUGGUGGUGUUUGGGCAGUACACCGGGAUACAAUACCCUACUCUUUUCCUAAGAGUGUAUUGCGUUAUUCGACGUGCCAUUGGGCCAUCAAUGCACACAGGACCAACGGCUUAAACGUCUCAUCCGAAAAACGGUGCGCUAUUAUAACUUGUAUUUUUUUCAGCCCUCCAGCUGAAAUCCAAGGAAAGGCAGAGAUGGGUAUUGAACUGGGGACCUAGAGACUUCCACGGUUCAGCGCACACGCAGUUGCUAACCAGAUUAGCCAACUGAGCUAAGCUGCUGAUGUGUAUUAAAAAGUGCAGCAAAAUAAUAUUAGAUGUGCUCAUUCAAGUGACUUAAUUCUUUCAACUUGGGACUUUGUAACUUAAUUUUAUGGAUAGGACUCAAAAGGGUGAACUCAAUUCUGAACAUUAAACCAAAGGCUGGUAAGUCUCAAACCAGUGUGAAGGGGCUUAAGCAGACGGAUUAAACAGAAGUAUUAAAGUUGGUCAUGGCAUAUUCCACACCAAAAAUCAUGUACGGUCCCAAAGGUACGGGAGCUGUUUAAGAUUUUGCUUUUAAAUCCAUAAACAUAAUUCUGUAUGUAAAUAAUGAAAAAUUUGACUACAUUUCUGUUUUUUGCUUAUGUAUAUUAGAGAAAGGUACAAAGCUAAAAAUUGACUUUUUAAUAUAUUCCUAUUCUCCACAUUAUAGUGUGGAAAAAAUGAUGGGUAUAAUUUUUACAGGAAUUAACUUACUAUUUCAAAGUUAUGACUGGUACUGGCAUUUAUAAUGCGGAGUUCUUUUCCCUGGUCAUUGAGUCCACAUGCUUUAGGG